GCCUUAUCACCGGUUAGGUCGGAUGUCGACUUGCCUGACCGGAUGGUGGAAGUUUUGUUUUAGUGAAGACAGGGCGGCUUGAAAGUUGGAAUUCAACAUUUCGGAGUAACCCGAGCACCUUGCUAACUAGUAACGUUAACGUAGUAGGCUAACGUUAGUUCGGGAGGGGAGCCGUUCCAACGAAACCAUGGGGAACCGGGGGAUGGAAGAUUUGAUCCCCCUUAUCAACAAACUUCAGGACGCGUUCAGUUCCAUCGGCCAGAGUUGUAACUUGGAUUUACCGCAAAUUGCUGUGGUCGGUGGG